rnacentral:rRNA from 1 species
GACGAACGCUGGCGGCGUGCUUAACACAUGCAAGUCGAACGGAAAGGCCCUGCUUUUGUGGGGUGCUCGAGUGGCGAACGGGUGAGUAACACGUGAGUAACCUGCCCUUGACUUUGGGAUAACUUCAGGAAACUGGGGCUAAUACCGGAUAGGAGCUCCUGCUGCAUGGUGGGGGUUGGAAAGUUUCGGCGGUUGGGGAUGGACUCGCGGCUUAUCAGCUUGUUGGUGGGGUAGUGGCUUACCAAGGCUUUGACGGGUAGCCGGCCUGAGAGGGUGACCGGCCACAUUGGGACUGAGAGACGGCGCAGACUCCUACGGGGGGCAGCAGUGGGGAAUAUUGCACAAUGGGCGGGAGCCUGAUGCAGCAACGCCGCGUGCGGGAUGACGGCCUUCGGGUUGUAAGCCGCUUUCGCCUGUGACGAAGCGUGAGUGACGGUAAUGGGUAAAGAAGCACCGGCUAACUACGUG